AAUUGUGGAGAAGACGCGGUCCUAGGUGUGUGGCUGGUUGUGUGUGUGCAUGCUAAUUGCCGGCUAUGUGUGUGCAGGGUACACCAAGUCGGCAGCCAGUGUACUAGGAAGUAGUGAGAUGGAGGCAUGAAACAGUGGAGCAGGUAUGUGCGUCGAGCUGCCACUGCACUUGUGCGUAUGCUACCUCAAAUGAACUUGGCUAAUUGUAAUUGUUGCUACUAAACUGGUAUGCGUGUGUUCCUUUUGGUAGCAUGUUAAUUCUUGUUAGAAUGUACACUGAUUAUUGUUCCAGGAAUGGAAGUUUUAGGAAGAAUUUGAUGCUUGCUGAGAUACUGGAAUGUGAGUCAUUUCUGUAUAUGUUUCUAAACUACAAGCAAAAUCACAUGGUGGAUUAGUGGUGCUAAUCUAUCUCAGUUCAACUAGUUAAAUAAUCUCAUUAUACCUAGAUGUGCUAACCAGUUUGACUGCCUUAGUUCAACCAGUUAAAUUGUCUAGGUUCAAAUAUAUUUACUGUGCCAAGACCAAAUAUUAGUUAAUCCUUCUUCCACUUCCUCCACAAGAAAUUGAGCUCUAAAAGAUUCUGUGUUUCCACUUGCAUAACAACUCAUGGAACAACUUCUACAGACCUAGAUAGUGUGAGCAUCAAAAUACAAAGCAUAGUUUAUCUCAGUUCAAGUACAUAAGAAAAAAUAAGUCCACUCUGUAAAAACAACAGUAGAUGCAGGAAGUUCAAUUUUGCUAUAUGUGAUUGGUAAUGCAGAUGUGUUCUUUUGUGGUGGAGAUUUCGUGAGUAAACUAUGCAAACAAUUUAAAAAUACUCAAGUCCAACAUGCAAACCAGUAACAGUCCUAUAGUGCAACAUGCAUCAAAUUCAAAAAUAGCAAACCUGACUUGAAACAAAUUCACAUCUGGUUGUUUAUUUCAUAGCUCAUUGUCUCUAAUAUAAGCCAAUGCUUCUAUUAUAAUCUAGUUGUUUAUUUUGUAGCUCGCUUUUUCUAAUAUAAUGUUAAAGUCCACUAGAUGAAAAUUUCUCUGUGUUAGCUAUAUCAGUACUAGUGCUUAUCGGUACAAUAAAGUAACAAUACUGAUCAGUACAACAUACAAAGUAGCUUCAAUCAUAAGUUAGAUUUCAUCUGUGUUUCCAUGUUAUUUGUGUAUAGUACAACGGGUAUUGUAUUCUGUUCAUUUCAUCUACUUGCCAGUUGUAUGUCCAAUUACAUAAGCUUUUCCAUGUUGUAUUCGUGCAAGUUCAUCCACCGCUGCGACCACGCCUCCCCCUCACGAUUUCUCAUUGAUAUUGUUGUAUUCGUUCUUGUUUCGUGAGUUGCCUGAUGGAAGUUCUGCAACUGUCAGUCCAGAUGGAAGAAGGAGAUCCGUCCAAAGUGAGAGUUUUGCGACGUCGACGUGCAAGUUCUACAAUUUAUCCGUCCAGAUGGCAGAAGGAGAUCAGUCCAACCGACGCAUCUAAAAAGCAACAUAUGCAGAGCCAUUCGCCCGAGGUAUCGGAAUAAUUCUAAUGUUUUUUUGUUCAUUGGAUUUCCGGAUUGUUAGCGCAAGUAACACGUUCUGUUUUAAGUAAGCACUGUCUGCUUAGAAGUUGUGUUUGAAACCCAUUUUUAAUAGUGAAACAAGUAAAUUAGUGUGGUAAUGCUUUAUUGUUAUAGUUCUUAAGUGACUGAAAUUUUGACCAUGUGUUUAGAGUUAAGCAACUACAUAAGUUGCAUGAUGUAUUGAUCUACUUGUCAUGCUGAAGUUUAUUGGCUUCUUAAAAUUUCAGAUAUAAACAAGCUGGUGGCCGCCCAUCUCUGCAUGUAUUUUAUUUGGGAUGUAAGUCUCUCUAUAGAUCAUGUUAUGAGUAAUGCAAUUGGACGAGGUUGCUAGGAAGAUAUAUAGUUCACCUUUAAUGUGAUUUGCACUUCAUCUUUAUAGAGCCAAAUCCUG
rnacentral:lncRNA from 1 species